rnacentral:lncRNA from 1 species
UUUUGUAUCUGUUAUAAUAUUUUUCCAUGGAAAUAAAUAGGAGGUAUUACUUUUGCAGUGACUGAUGUACAUAUGGUUUCAACAACCAAUGAAAUGCUCUCAAUGGAUUAUUUGCAAUUUUAUGGCAUCAGAGAUGAUACCUGACAAAGGACUGAAGCCUAAUCUAAAGGCAGGGGAAAGGCUGAAACAAUUCCACUUAGAAGAAGGUUACAAACAGGCUGAGUAUUGCAGCUGGCUGGAAGAAGUUUGUGCUCUGCAGGGCUAAGGUGAAUACAAGUUCACACAGAACAGACAGCACAAUGCUGAUAGCUGACAUUUCUGCUCCAGUCCUUCUCUAAAACCAGUUGUCUAGGCUGAGGCUUGGAUUCCUUCAAAUGAUGUUCCACAGUCACAGCCUGGUAAUGCUGUAUUUUGUUUCAUCACUAUUAUUAAAACUCAAUUUUUUUUAAAAAAAGUUUAAUUCCAAGGAUGUGUUUUGUCAACAAUUAUAAGAUUAAACAGUGGAAGAUCUUAAAUUCAAACAUCUCUGCAAUAGGAAACAGUUGCUAAGGCUACUCAUCUAAGCAACAUGGUGAACCCAAAUCUUUGUUUAACUACUUUUGAAUUCUGAGUCCUACAAAAAGUCUGUUCCUAUUCUUAAAAAAGAUGUAUACUGCUGUGUAACCAUGUUCUAUUCCUACUGUCUGUUCACACAAAUACAUGGGUUCAUAAAAUAGUGUCUCAUAUUAAUUUUUAAAGCCUAUGUUUAAUCAGUAUGUUCACCUUAAAAGCUAUAAAACACAAAAAUUUCUUAUGCAGAAUAUAGGAUGUUUUGGGGUAGUAAAGAACAGUUCCUUGAAGCUUACAUGGGAAAUAAAUAAGGCAUUACUUUUGGAAGUCUGUGCA